rnacentral:rRNA from 1 species
GACGAACGCUGGCGGCGUGCCUAAUACAUGCAAGUCGAACGCAGUGGGGACGGGUGAGUAACACGUGGGUAACCUCCCAUCAGAGGGGAUAACACUUGGAAACAGGUGCUAAACCGAUACUGAUGGAUGGACCCGCGGUGCAUUAGCUAGUUGGUGAGGUAACGGCUCACCAAGGCCACGAUGCAUAGCGGACCGGAGAGGGUGAUCGCCCAACCGGGGACGGAGACACGGCCAAGACCCCUAGGGGAGGCAGAAGUAGGGAAUCUUCGGCAAUGGACGAAAGUCUGACCGAGCAACGCGGCGUGAGUGAAGAAGGUUUUGGGAUCGUAAAACUUUUUUGUUAGAGAAGCGGUAUCUAACCAGAAAGCCACGGCUAACUACGUGCCAGCCGCCGCGGUAUUC